rnacentral:rRNA from 2 species
UCUUCCCAUUCCGAACAGAGAAGUUAAGCCUUGUCACGCCGAUGGUACUGCGUCACAGUGGGAGAGUAGGUAGCUGCCGUUU